UUCCAGACUCCUACGGGAGGCAGCAGUGGGGAAUAUUGCGCAAUGGGCGAAACCCUGAUGCAGCGACGCCGCGUGUAGGAAGACGGUCCUCUGGACUGUAAACUACUGUCCCCAGGGACGAAGAUGACGGUACCUGGGGAGGAAGCUCCGGCUAACUACGUGCCAGCAGCCGCGGUAAUACGUAGGGAGCGAGCGUUGUCCGGAAUUACUGGGUGUAAAGGGAGCGUAGGCGGGGAUGCAAGUUGGGUGUUAAAUCUACCGGCUCAACUGGUAGUCGCACUCAAAACUGCAGCUCUUGAGUGAAGUAGAGGCAGGCGGAAUUCCUAGUGUAGCGGUGAAAUGCGUAGAUAUUAGGAGGAACACCAGUGGCGAAGGCGGCCUGCUGGGCUUUUACUGACGCUGAGGCUCGAAAGUGUGGGGAGCAAACAGGAUUAGAUACCCGUGUA
rnacentral:rRNA from 1 species